rnacentral:lncRNA from 1 species
CGAUGCUCAGCAUUAUUUCACUUUGUGGCCAUGGUGAAGUAACCACAUGUUGUGGACAACUCUGUCAAAUCCAAUACACAUUCUGAGCGUUUUGAAAUGACUACAGACUUUUCUGAAAGAGAUCAGGGCAUGUGUAGUAAUAUGCUCCGUGUUACUAAUAGUAGCAGAAUUCCGCUACUAGUAAUGGAAUUUUCAUCAUUUAGCAGUAUCGGCCAAGGCAACUAUAAUAAUUCACGAAAAAGAAGCGACAUUUUGGACUUUUGGACACUAGACUUCAAUUAUACAGGGUGUUUCCAAAGUUCACCGACAAACUUCCAGGGCAGGUUCUGCUCAUGAAAAUGAAUAGGGGAUA